GAUGAAGAACGUAGCGAAAUGCGAUAAGUAAUGCGAAUUGCAGAAUUCAGUGAGUCAUCGAAUCUUUGAACGCACAUUGCGCCCCUUGGCAUUCCGGGGGGCAUGCCUGUUCGAGCGUCAUUUCACCACUCAAGCCUCGCUUGGUAUUGGGCAACGCGGUCCGCCGCGUGCCUCAAAUCGACCGGCUGGGUCUUCUGUCCCCUAAGCGUUGUGGAAACUAUUCGCUAAAGGGUGUUCGGGAGGCUACGCCGUAAAACAACCCCAUUUCUAAGGUUGACCUCGGAUCAGGUAGGGAUACCCGCUGAACUUAAGCAUAUCAAUAAGCGGAGGA
rnacentral:misc_RNA from 1 species